GACUGGCUGAACUCGCACUGUUUUUCAGUUGACGACCGGUGAGUGAGUGUCUUAAUCGGUCAGGAGAGCACAAGGGGUUCUGAAUUUUUUUAAAAAGCAUCCAUUCAGGCUCAUCCUUUCACAGCCGUCAUCACAACGUUUCUUCGUUUGGAAACAGCAACCUCUUGAAUUUAGACAUGGUGCUCUGACUUAUAUUCAGUGCCGUGUCAUACAUUGUUGAGCGGCUGUCUACAUGUUGCGGUUGUUGCAACAAGGGAAAUUCGGCAGGAUGACAUGGCACAUCACGUAAGCCCAAAUGUCAGGGGGUGUAUUUUGUGCCCGAAUGUGCUUCAUCAUGUUCACCCACCUCACCUCCUAAAGACCCAUCUCAGAUAAUUAAAGACUAAAGAUACUCUCCAUCAUUUCUUUGUCCUAUCUGGCAUUCAUCUGAGCUGUUUAUAAUGAUGACAUGUCUAUAAACUCCUUCUACAGGAGGUGGACAUGUCUGAUGUUUCAGACAUACCAGAUGUCAUACACCUAAAUAAUAAUAAUAAAAAAACACACACCAAAUCCCAGU